GGCAGGUUAGUUCAACAGGCAGAACGGCACAGUCUUUUUCGUUAUGAUGAUUAGCCAUGUUAUGUUGUGAUUUACCUGAGUGCAAAUGCGGGUUCGACUCCCGCACCUGCCG
rnacentral:tRNA from 1 species